UAAUGACUGACUACUGCAGCAUUCAGGCUAUCACACCAUAGACUUACUAGAAUUAUAGAGCUUGUACUAAUGGAGGGGACUUGGUGCAUCGUGACGCGCGCGGGGAGAAUCGACAGAGAGGGGCCCUAUUCUUGAAAUAGUUGCGCAUACAUAAAUAGCAAGUUGCGAAUGAUCGCAAUGGAAAAUCCCUAGAACGGUAUUCUUGACUGUCGCAAGCAGUAACGUAUACGCAAUUUUUCGUGUACGAUGCAACGAAUAGUUCAGACCAUUCGUUUCAUGAGAAACGUAUACGUUUCGAUGAUGAAAAGCAAUAGUAAAAGCCUCCGCGUACCAUUACAUAUUAGUCAGCCAACAGUCUCCCGCUGCAUCCACAAAAUUAUUAAUGUUGUAACAAGAGAAGAAAUAAUGAAACAGGAUUAAGUUUCCCAGUACGUUAGCAGAAUUGAACACGUUAUCCUGGAAGCACUCGCAAUACAUUUAUAUGGAAUAACUCAUAUGCAAAAAACGUGCUAUGGUUUAUCUCUAAAGGCGCUAUCCACACAAAAAUUUCCUUUUAGUAGGUGAUUCAAGGUAUUCUUUCAGGCCUUGGAUGAUGACUCCUAUAAUAGGUGCUAUUAAAGGUAGUCCAGAAGCUGAAUAUAAUACCAAACAAAUGAGAUGUCGUGCAUUAAUAGAAUAAUGCAAUGGAGUUCUGAAAAUGCGGUUUGUGUCUAUUGAAGUAUAGAAUACUCCAUUACUCUCCACCAAUAGCAUCUAAAAUUAUAUAUACAUGUGCUGUUUUACAUAAUAUGUACAUUACCCAAAAUGUGUCACUAAAUCUAAAUGACGAUAAUGAAGAUGUAGAUUUUGGGAUGUAUAAUAACAAAAAUCGUAUUGAAAAUGAAAGAAACGUCCGUAGAAUUGAUCUAAAUAUGGCAGCUGGUAGAAAUAAACAGCAACUAAUGAUUGCAAAUUACUUCUCGUAAAUUAUAAGUAUCGUUUAUCAUUUAGUAUAGUUUUUAUCAAUAGUGGAUUCAUAUUAAUUAGGAAUAUAUCAUAUUUUAAGUCAAAAAUUUUUCUUUAUUCUUACAAUGUAUAUGAAUACAAAUAAAACAUAUAUAAUAUAUAAAAGAAUUA
rnacentral:lncRNA from 1 species